GAGAGGAUGCACGGGGUAUGUCUCAACUCUCAACAAUUUUUAAAGGUGAUGACAACACAGAUGGUUGUGAUGUGUAGCAGCAGAUCCAUGCAAUGGCUUGACAAAGAGAAUGGCUACCUUUCUGCAAAUGAUGGGUCCAAUUGAGUUGAGAGGGUAUAAAUGAGCCAAGCUACUGGGAACCUGCUUAUCUGAAGCUCUGCGUAAUGCUUGUGGAGGCUUAAAUUGGCUGAGAUGGUUAAAAUCCAAUCGGUGUCACCAUAAUUGCUGUGGGUUAAAAGCAAAGACUACUCGUUGCAAGAUAAGAUCCGGAUUCUCAAGUGAGUACGGUUUAAUCUGGAACAGAAGAAAGGAGACAUCACCAGCUAGCGGUUCUGAAUUGAUACUAGUAGGCGAAGACGUUUAUACUUUCAACAAAGAUAUCAAAGAAAUUAUAUUUUUAUAGUACAAGAACAAGAUAAAUCGAGCACUCUUAGUUAUUUGUUUUCAAAUUAAUACUAAGCCAUAGCAUGCAGUGCUACGGUCUUUUCCCACCA